rnacentral:rRNA from 1 species
GACGAAGGGGGCUAGCGUUGUUCGGAAUUACUGGGCGUAAAGCGCGUGUAGGCGGUUAUCCAAGUCGGGUGUGAAAGCCUUGAGCUCAACUCAAGAAAUGCACUCGGUACUGGGUGACUAGAGGACCGGAGAGGAUAGUGGAAUUCCCAGUGUAGUGGUGAAAUACGUAGAGAUUGGGAAGAACACCAGUGGCGAAGGCGGCUAUCUGGACGGUUUCUGACGCUGAGGAGCGAAAGUGUGGGGAGCGAAACAGG